GACGAACGCUGGCGGCGUGCCUAAUACAUGCAAGUUGAGCGCUGAAGGUUGGUACUUGUACCAACUGGAUGAGCAGCGAACGGGUGAGUAACGCGUGGGGAAUCUGCCUUUGAGCGGGGGACAACAUUUGGAAACGAAUGCUAAUACCGCAUAAAAACUUUAAACACAAGUUUUAAGUUUGAAAGAUGCAAUUGCAUCACUCAAAGAUGAUCCCGCGUUGUAUUAGCUAGUUGGUGAGGUAAAGGCUCACCAAGGCGAUGAUACAUAGCCGACCUGAGAGGGUGGUCGGCCACAUUGGGACGGAGACACGGCCCAAACGCCUACGGGAGGCAGCAGUAGGGAAUCUUCGGCAAUGGACGAAAGUCUGACCGAGCAACGCCGCGUGAGUGAAGAAGGUUUUCGGAUCGUAAAACUCUGUUGGUAGAGAAGAACGUUGGUGAGAGUGGAAAGCUCAUCAAGUGACGGUAACGACCCAGAAAGGGACGGCUAACUACGUG
rnacentral:rRNA from 1 species